GGGCCUGUAGCUCAGCUUGGAUAGAGCGGCAUCCUCCUAAGGUGAAGGUCGUGGGUUCAAAUCCCACCAGGCCCG
rnacentral:tRNA from 1 species